rnacentral:rRNA from 1 species
CUUCCGUAGGGUGAACCUGCGGAAGGAUCACUA